UACGAUAAUACCAGCAUAGUUCCAUACCUCUUUAGCAAAACAACAAUAAUGAAAAAGAUGAUUCGUACUUUCAAGUUCAUAAUGACUGUGAGCCAAGAACGGUCUUUGAAGCUGAUGAGAAAAAAUGAUAUCUCUAGUUUUCAAUCUUCCUCUAAUUAGACUAAAUAUGUGGACUUGAUAUGUGGAUUAGGAUAGGGCAAAUUACAUAUAAGUCCACUUUAAGAUAUUUGUUCCCACAUAAGUCCACCCUAACAUUUUUACCCAUAUAAGUCCACCCAAGCUUAAAUAAGGUUUUGGUUUAAGUAUUGAAGUUCAACAUAAUUACAGACUGCUAUCCAACAAAAAAAAUUAGAUUUUCUCUUUUAUAUUUACAAAAAUGCCACUAAUGUAAAAAGUCAACAACCACUCUUCUCCCCGGAAAAGUCUCCGGCAGACCUCCGGCGAGGUCUCUGAUGGACUCCGGCCGACCUCCGGCAAUGUCUCCGGCUGAAUUCCGAUGAGGUUUUCAACGGUUACGAAAGCUACUACCGCCAGCAAGAAAAGCUACUAUCCCUAGCUACAAAACUACUACCACAGACUAUAAAUGCUACUACCGCCAGCAAGAAAAAUUACUAUCCUUAGCUACAAAAACUAUUAUCCCUAGCUAGAAAAGCUACUACCACAGAUUAGAAAAGCUACUACCACCGACUAUAAAAGCUACUACCGCCAGUAAAAAAAGCUACUAUCCCGAACUACAAAAGCUACUAUCCCUAGCUAGAAAAGCUACUACCACCGACUAGAAAAGCUACUACCACUGACUAGAAAAGCUACUACCACCAGCAAGAAAAGCUACUACCAUCGAAUAGAAAAGCUACUACCACCGACUACAAAAGCUAUUACCACCAGCAAAAAAACUACUACCACCAGCAACAAAAGCUACUCCAUCAACUAGAAAAGCUACUAUCCCUAACUACAAAAGCUACUACCAUACAUAAUAAAAUCUACUACUACCAAGUAAUACAAAAUAUACUAUUACAGUGUCAAAAAUAUACUAUCGUAAUGACAAAAAUAUACUACUACUGUGUUGGAAAUAUACUAUCAUAACCAUAACCAGUCAAUUGUGAGCUUGUUGAGCGUUGAGCAUGUCAAGAGGACGGUUCCAUUCUCGGUAGAGCCUUCGUUUCCCGACGCCGUCGAUGCCAGCAACGACGGGUUUAUCUAGAUCGGAUCUAGAGUUGAAGGCGCUAGAUGGUUGAGCAGAUCAAAUCAGAAGGCGUCAUCGUCGAUCCGGAGGCUUCGUCGUUGGGCCGGCGACGUCGAGGUCGAAUCAGAACAAGUCAAGGUCAAAUCAGAAGAGGCCGAGGUUGAGGCCGAAUUAGAAGUCUGGAUCGGAUCUAGAGGUGAAGGCGCUAGAUGGUUGAGCGGAUCAAAUCAGANNNNNNN
rnacentral:lncRNA from 1 species